rnacentral:rRNA from 1 species
GAUGAACGCUGGCGGCGUGCCUAAUACAUGCAAGUCGAGCGAACGGACGAGAAGCUUGCUUCUCUGAUGUUAGCGUCGGACGGGUGAGUAACACGUGGAUAACCUACCUAUAAGACUGGGAUAACUUCGGGAAACCUGAGCUAAUACCGGAUAAUAUUUUGAACCGCAUGGUUCAACAGUGAAAGACGGUCUUGCUGUCACUUAUAGAUGGAUCCGCGCUGCAUUAGCUAGUUGGUAAGGUAACGGCUUACCAAGGCAACGAUGCAUAGCCGACCUGAGAGGGUGAUCGGCCACACUGGAACUGAGACACGGUCCAGACUCCUACGGGAGGCAGCAGUAGGGAAUCUUCCGCAAUGGGCGAAAGCCUGACGGAGCAAAGCCGCGUGAGUGAUGAAGGUCUUCGGAUCGUAAAACUCUGUUAUUAGGGAAGAACAUAUGUGUAAGUAACUGUGCACAUCUUGACGGUACCUAAUCAGAAAGCCACGGCUAACUACGUG